UCGGAGAGGUGGCGGACGCGCAAGAC
rnacentral:sRNA from 1 species